rnacentral:rRNA from 1 species
CCUACGGGAGGCAGCAGUGGGGGAUAUUGCACAAUGGGGGGAACCCUGAUGCAGCGACGCCGCGUGGGUGAAGGAGUGCUUCGGCAUGUAAAGCCCUAUCGGCAGGGAAGAAGCAAGACGGUACCUGACUAAGAAGCCCCGGCUAACUACGUGCCAGCAGCCGCGGUAAAACGGAGGGGGCGAGCGUUAUCCGGAUUCACUGGGGGGAAAGGGGGCGUAGACGGCCAUGCAAGCCAGGGGUGAAAGCCCGGGGCCCAACCCCGGGACUGCCCUUGGAACUGCAUGGCUGCAGUGCGGGAGGGGCAGGCGGAAUUCCUGGUGUAGCGGUGAAAUGCGUAGAUAUCAGGAGGAACACCGGCGGCGUAGGCGGCCUGCUGGACUGCGACUGACGUUGAGGCUCGAAAGCGUGGGGAGCAAACAGGAUUAGAUACCCCUGUAGUC